rnacentral:rRNA from 1 species
GAUGAACGCUGGCGGCGUGCUUAACACAUGCAAGUCGAACGGAAAGGCCCAAGCUUGCUUGGGUACUCGAGUGGCGAACGGGUGAGUAACACGUGGGUGAUCUGCCCUGCACUUCGGGAUAAGCCUGGGAAACUGGGUCUAAUACCGGAUAGGACCACAUUUUGGAUGGUGUGGUGGAAAGUUUUUCGGUGUGGGAUGAGCUCGCGGCCUAUCAGCUUGUUGGUGGGGUAAUGGCCUACCAAGGCGUCGACGGGUAGCCGGCCUGAGAGGGUGUACGGCCACAUUGGGACUGAGGUAAGGCCCAGGCUCCUACGGGAGGCAGCAGUGGGGAAGAUUGCACAAUGGGCGCAAGCCUGAUGCAGCGACGCCGCGUGGGGGAUGACGGUCUUCGGGUUGUAAACUCAUUUCGCAAGGGACGAAGCGUUAUGUGACGGUACCUGGAGAAGAAGCACCGGCUAACUACGUG